rnacentral:rRNA from 1 species
GACGAACGCUGGCGGCGUGCUUAACACAUGCAAGUCGAGCGGUAAGGCCCUUCGGGGUACGACGAGCGGCGAACGGGUGAGUAACACGUGGGUGACCUGCCUCUAGCUCUGGGAUAAGCCUGGGAAACGUGGGUCUAAUACCGGAUAUGACUCCACGGCGCAUGUUGUGGGGUGGAAAGCCUUGUGUGGCUAGAGAUGGGCCCGCGGCCUAUCAGCUUGUUGGUGGGGUGAUGGCCUACCAAGGCGACGACGGGUAGCCGGCCUGAGAGGGCGACCGGCCACACUGGGACUGAGACACGGCCCAGACUCCUACGGGAGGCAGCAGUGGGGAAUCUUGCGCAAUGGGCGAAAGCCUGACGCAGCGACGCCGCGUGAGGGAUGACGGCC